GUGGACAAAGUGCACCUGGUACGUUUCUGUUCAGGAGUCAAAAGGCGAGGGACUCACCUUGCAGAAACCUUUGAGAACCCAAGUUAUUUUGUCACAAUGUUGUCUGCUCUUUCAGUUGAGAUGCCCAGUCUCUCGGCUAUCUGACGACAUGAUAUUCGACGAUCUUGCAUUAUCAUACCAAGAGCAAAGUCAAUGUUAUUAAUAUGUAAGGAU